CCUACGGGCGGCAGCAGUAGGGAAUCUUUCACAAUGGGCGAAAGCCUGAUGGAGCAACGCCGCGUGCAGGAUGAAGGCCUUCGGGUUGUAAACUGCUUUUAUAAGCGAGAAAUAUGAUGGUAACUUAUGAAUAAGGAUCGGCUAACUACGUGCCAGCAGCCGCGGUCAUACGUAGGAUCCGAGCAUUAUCCGGAGUGACUGGGUGUAAAGAGUUGCGUAGGUGGCAUAAUAAGUAGCUAGUGAAAUCUGGUGGCUCAACCAUUCAGACUAUUAGCUAAACUGUUAAGCUCGAGACCGUUAGGAGUAACUGGAAUUUCUAGUGUAGGAGUGAAAUCCGUAGAUAUUAGAAAGAACACCGAUAGCGUAGGCAGGUUGCUGGGACGGGUCUGACACUAAGGCACGAAAGCGUAGGGAGCAAACGGGAUUAGAUACCCUAGUAGUC
rnacentral:rRNA from 1 species